UAAUAAUGCAAUGACAUUAUCAUAGUAGUGACAUUAUUCAUUGUUAUGUCAUGGAAUGGAAAAGUUUUAGGACAUCGUACAUUGAUAUAUUACCAAUUAUGUUAUAUCAGUGUAACUGUGAUGUCAUUCUGAAUUUGAACAUCAUUCUGAAAGAUAUAAAUGAAAUCAUUUCAUUGCCACCUCAAAAUGCCCAUUCCUCUAGGGCAGUGGUCUCAAACUGGUGGCUUGUGGGCUGUAUCUGGCCAACAAAGCAAUUCUUUACAAUCUGUGAAGAUAUUUCAGCUAUUUGUUUAAGUGCAUGCUACACUCGGAC
rnacentral:lncRNA from 1 species